UGUAUUGCUCUGACCUGUUUGUGUGACGCUUAUAUCUGAACUCCUCUGAUUAAUUGGGUGCAUCCAGGCCAUGUCUGCGGGCGUGUAUGUGUAGCGCUCCUGAGAGAAAUGGUGUAAACACUGAGCUUGCAAAAGAAGAGUUUUUAGGCUUGAAGCUGUUAAUUGCCAGGAUGUUCAAAGACAAGACCUGCCUCAGCCUUCGGGAGCUCAUGUUGACCAGAGAGCCCUACUGCUCAGAGUACAAGAACAUCCUGCACCUUGUACACAUUAUGUUGGUCCUCCCUGUCUCAGCCGCAGUUUGUGAGAGAGGGUUCUCUGCACAGAAGAGGAUCAAAUCAGACAUUAGAGCAUCCCUUCAUUUAAAUACAGUUGAAGAUCUUAUAAUAAUCAGUGUAGAGGGGCCAAGUCUGGAAGAUUUUGAUGCUCGAGAGAGUGUGGCCAGCUGGUUUAGCCAAGGCCAAAGAUCAAGAAGGCCAAACUACAGGAGUUGGCCAUCCGAGGGGCAUGUGACUGCAAUGGAGGAUAGUCCAUAAGACAUUGAGCCAUGAGAUGCUCAGUUUGAAGCCCUUGAAACACUUAAUUAAAAUUUUCUUUUUAUUUAAUUUAUCUUGAGAUGUUUUAAGUUUAAAUUUCAGCUCAGUGAAGCACUUCAAGCACCAACACUUUUUUUUUGUUAUCUUUCUUGUAGAAUUGUGCCUCAAAUAAAGAACUUUAUGUUGA
ensembl:lncRNA